GAGAGAGAGAGAGAGAGAGAGAAACAUUAACAAAUGUUCAGAUUAUUCCCAUUCAUUGGAGUUGGACGCCUCCCUGGCCCUCCAUAAUUCAUGGUGUUUUUGCUCUUCACAUUUCUUCUUUGUCUGGGGCCUUGCUUUUUCCCCUGCUGCUGGACUUUUGUCCUUCUAAAGUUAUUGUGAUUGUCUUGUUUAUUACAGUUCUUCUGUUUCCUUGUGCUGUCCUGGUGGAUGCUUCAUCCCCAGAUGUUUGUGGUUCUGGCCCUCUCCAGGAAAAUUGCAAUGGUGAAAUGUUGAAGUUUGGAUCAUCUUAAUGGAUUUUUUUGUGUGCAGAGCUUCAUGGAUUACUUCAUAUUUAUUUUGCCUUUUCCUUUUGUUAUGAUGGAUCAUGUUCACGGAUGUUGAAGUUUGGAUUAAAUUCAAGAAUAUUAGCUUUUGUUGGAAUGA